rnacentral:rRNA from 1 species
AUUAAUUUAAAGGCUGCAGUAUUUUAACUGUACAAAGGUAGCAUAAUAAUUAGUUCCUUAAUUAGGGACUGGAAUGAAGGAUUGAACGAGAUAAAAAUUGUCUCUUUUUAAGUUUUAUAAUUUUAUUUUUAAGUUAAAAAGCUUAAAUAAUAUUAAAAGACGAGAAGACCCUAUAGAGUUUUAUAAUUAUAAUAUAUUUAAAUUUUAGAAAUAAAAUUUUAUUUAUAUAAUAAUUAUUUGAUUGGGGUGAUUUUAAAAUUUAAAAAACUUUAAUAUUUUUUACAUUUAUGUAUGAUAAAUUGAUCCAUAAAUUAUGAUUAAAAGAUUAAAUUACCUUAGGGAUAACAGCGUAAUUUUUUUAAAGAGUUCUUAUCGAAAAAAAAGAUUGCGACCUCGAUGUUGGAUUAAAAUAAAUUUUUGGUGUAGAAGCUAAAAUAUUAGGUCUGUUCGACCUUUAAAAUUUUACAUGAUCUGAGUUUAAAUCGGCGUGAGCCAGGUUGGUUUCUAUCUUUAAUUUAGUAAAAUAUUUUAGUACGAAAGGACCAUAUAUUUAUAAAGUUUAUUAGUUUAUGAUUAAUAUUA